GACGAACGCUGGCGGCGUGCUUAACACAUGCAAGUCGAGCGGAAAGGCUCCUUCGGGGGUACUCGAGCGGCGAACGGGUGAGUAACACGUGAGUAAUCUGCCCUGCGCUCUGGGAUAGCCACCGGAAACGGUGAUUAAUACCGGAUAUGACCGCUACACGCAUGUGUUGGUGGUGGAAAGUUUUUCGGCGCAGGAUGUGCUCGCGGCCUAUCAGCUUGUUGGUGAGGUAAUGGCUCACCAAGGCUUUGACGGGUAGCCGGCCUGAGAGGGUGACCGGUCACACUGGGACUGAGACACGGCCCAGACUCCUACGGGAGGCAGCAGUGGGGAAUAUUGGACAAUGGGCGGAAGCCUGAUCCAGCAACGCCGCGUGAGGGAUGACGGCCUUCGGGUUGUAAACCUCUUUCAGUACCGACGAAGCGAAAGUGACGGUAGGUACAGAAGAAGGACCGGCCAACUACGUGCCAGCCGCCGCCGUAACAC
rnacentral:rRNA from 1 species